rnacentral:rRNA from 1 species
GGUUAAGCGAAUAAGCGUACACGGUGGAUGCCUAGGCAAUCAGAGGCGAUGAAGGACGUGCUAAUCUGCGAAAAGCGUCGGUAAGGUGAUAUGAACCGUUAUACCCGACGAUAUCCGAAUGGG